rnacentral:rRNA from 1 species
UUAAGUGACUAAGCGUACAAGGUGGAUGCCUUGGCAAUCAGAGGCGAAGAAGGACGUGCUAAUCUGCGAAAAGCUUGGAUGAGUCGAUAAGAGGCGUUUAAUCCAAGAUAUCCGAAUGGGGAAACCCAGUAGAUGAAGAAUCUACUAUCAACAAGUGAAUUCAUAGCUUGUUGAGGCAAACCGGGAGAACUGAAACAUCUAAGUACCCCGAGGAAAAGAAAUCAACCGAGAUUUCGUCAGUAGCGGCGAGCGAAAGCGAAAGAGCCAGUAAGUGAUAGCAAUAUAGUGAGGAGAAUGUGUUGGGAAACACAAUCAAAGAGGGUGAUAAUCCCGUAUCUAAAAACCAUAUUGUGGUACUAAGCUAACGAGAAGUAGGGCGGGACACGUGAUAUCCUGUUUGAAGAAGGGGGGACCAUCCUCCAAGGCUAAAUACUCCUGAUUGACCGAUAGUGAACCAGUACUGUGAAGGAAAGGCGAAAAGAACCCCGGUGAGGGGAGUGAAAUAGAACCUGAAACCUUGUACGUACAAGCAGUGGGAGCCCCAUCACUUAAUCCGAUUGGAAGGUGAUGAAAAGCAACCGCACUUAAACAAUGGUAAGAGGAGCGAAGCGAGUCAAACCACCCAAAAGAAGCAGUGGGAUUAAGUGAUGGGGUGACUGCGUACCUUUUGUAUAAUGGGUCAGCGACUUAUAUUUUGUAGCGAGGUUAACCGAAUAGGGGAGCCGAAGGGAAACCGAGUCUUAACUGGGCGAAUAGUUGCAAGGUAUAGACCCGAAACCCGGUGAUCUAGCCAUGGGCAGGUUGAAGGUUGGGUAACACUAACUGGAGGACCGAACCGACUAAUGUUGAAAAAUUAGCGGAUGACUUGUGGCUGGGGGUGAAAGGCCAAUCAAACCGGGAGAUAGCUGGUUCUCCCCGAAAUCUAUUUAGGUAGAGCCUUGAGGUGACACCUUUGGGGGUAGAGCACUGUUUCGGCUAGGGGGCCAUCCCGGCUUACCAACCCGAUGCAAACUACGAAUACCAAAGAGUGAUACUCAGGAGACACACGGCGGGUGCUAACGUCCGUCGUGGAGAGGGAAACAACCCAGACCGCCAGCUAAGGUCCCCAAGUCUAUAUUAAGUGGGAAACGAAGUGGGAAGGCUUAGACAGCUAGGAUGUUGGCUUAGAAGCAGCCAUCAUUUAAAGAAAGCGUAAUAGCUCACUAGUCGAGUCGGCCUGCGCGGAAGAUGUAACGGGGCUGAAAUAUAGCACCGAAGCUGCGGCAUCAGAAUUUAUUCUGUUGGGUAGGGGAGCGUUGUGUAAGCGGAAGAAGGUUCAUCGAGAGGUGGGCUGGACGUAUCACAAGUGCGAAUGCUGACAUAAGUAACGAUAAAACGGGUGAAAAACCCGUUCGCCGGAAGACCAAGGGUUCCUGUCCAACGUUAAUCGGGGCAGGGUGAGUCGGCUCCUAAGGCGAGGCUGAAAAGCGUAGUCGAUGGGAAACAGGUUAAUAUUCCUGUACUUGGUAAAGCUGCGAUGUGGGGACGGAGUAGGUUAGGUUAUCGCACUGUUGGAUAUGUGCGUUUAAGUUGGUAGGUGGGAAGUUUAGGCAAAUCCGGACUUCCUUAACACAGAGAGAUGAUGACGAGGCUCUACGGAGCUGAAGUAACUGAUACCACACUUCCAGGAAAAGCCACUAAGCGAAAGGCUUUACUAAACCGUACUGAAAACCGACACAGGUGGUCAGGUAGAGAAUACUCAGGCGCUUGAGAGAACUCGGGUGAAGGAACUAGGCAAAAUAGCACCGUAACUUCGGGAGAAGGUGCGCCGGCGUAGAUUGUAAGGGCUAGCCCCUGAAGGUUGAACCGGUCGAAGUGACCCGCUGGCUGCAACUGUUUAUUAAAAACACAGCACUCUGCAAACACGAAAGUGGACGUAUAGGGUGUGAUGCCUGCCCGGUGCUGGAAGGUUAAUUGAUGGUGUCAUCGAAAGAGAAGCACCUGAUCGAAGCCCCAGUAAACGGCGGCCGUAACUAUAACGGUCCUAAGGUAGCGAAAUUCCUUGUCGGGUAAGUUCCGACCUGCACGAAUGGCAUAAUGAUGGCCAGGCUGUCUCCACCCGAGACUCAGUGAAAUUGAAAUCGCCGUGAAGAUGCGGUGUACCCGCGGCUAGACGGAAAGACCCCGUGAACCUUUACUAUAGCUUGACACUGAACAUUGAAUUUUGAUGUGUAGGAUAGGUGGGAGACUUAGAAGUAGGAACGCCAGUUUCUAUGGAGUCAUCCUUGAAAUACCACCCUUUAACGUUUGAUGUUCUAACGAAGACUACGGAACGUGGUCUCGGACAGUGUCUGGUGGGUAGUUUGACUGGGGCGGUCUCCUCCCAAAGCGUAACGGAGGAGCACGAAGGUUUGCUAAUCACGGUCGGACAUCGUGAGGUUAGUGCAAUGGUAUAAGCAAGCUUAACUGCGAGACAGACAAGUCGAGCAGGUACGAAAGUAGGUCAUAGUGAUCCGGUGGUUCUGAAUGGAAGGGCCAUCGCUCAACGGAUAAAAGGUACUCCGGGGAUAACAGGCUGAUACCGCCCAAGAGUUCAUAUCGACGGCGGUGUUUGGCACCUCGAUGUCGGCUCAUCACAUCCUGGGGCUGAAGUAGGUCCCAAGGGUAUGGCUGUUCGCCAUUUAAAGUGGUACGCGAGCUGGGUUUAGAACGUCGUGAGACAGUUCGGUCCCUAUCUGCCGUGGGCGUUGGAUGAUUGAUUGGGGCUGCUCCUAGUACGAGAGGACCGGAGUGGACGCAUCACUGGUGUUCCGGUUGUGUCGCCAGACGCAUUGCCGGGUAGCUAAAUGCGGAAGAGAUAAGUGCUGAAAGCAUCUAAGCACGAAACUUGCCAAGAGAUGAGUCAUCCCUGACUUUAAGUCAGUAAGGGUUGUUGUAGACUACGACGUAGAUAGGUCUGGUGUGUAAGUGUAGUGAUACAUUGAGCUAACAGAUACUAAUUGCCCGAGAGGCUUAACUAU